rnacentral:misc_RNA from 1 species
GAUGAAGGAACGCAGCGAAAUGCGAUACGUAAUGUGAAUUGCAGAAUUCAGUGAAUCAUCGAGUCUUUGAACGCACAUUGCGCCCUCUGGUAUUCCGGAGGGCAUGCCUGUCCGAGCGUCAUUGCUGCCCUCAAGCACGGCUUGUGUGUUGGGCUCCGUCCUCCUUCCGGGGGACGGGCCCGAAAGGCAGCGGCGGCACCGCGUCCGGUCCUCAAACGUAUGGGGCUUUGUCACCCGCUUUGUAGGACUGGCCGGCGCCUGCCGAUCAACCAAACUUUUUUCCAGGUUGACCUCGGAUCAGGUAGGGAUACCCGCUGAACUUAAGCAUAUCAAUAAGCGGAGGA